rnacentral:tRNA from 3 species
AUUUACAUAGCUUAUACAGAGCAUUAUAUUGAAGCUAUAAUUGAGAAAUUAUCUGUGAAUA